rnacentral:other from 1 species
GGCUCCCUGCCGUGCACGAGGCGGGCCAGUAGUUCCGAUCCAACACAUUGGCCCGGGGAGCCCGUCUCCGGACGCCGAGGCAGACCCGCUGCCAGUCCGCGGGAAGCCGGAGCGGUCGGGAGGGCACCCACCUGCGAGAGCAGGGUUCGGGAACUCCGUCCCGCACGGCACGGCGGGGGCCU